GUUAAGAUAUUUAUGAUUAUAAGCCGCCGUGUGGGCUUAAAAUUGGCCACCACAAAAGUUUGUUAUAAAAUAACGGUUUCAACUCAAAAAAUAAAUAUAUUUUUAAUCUAACUUCUUACGGAAAUAAAAUCUUUAACUAAAGUAAGUUUUAUACCUAUGCUAGAAUGAGUAUUAUAAACUAACAUUAAACAUGAAAAUAUUUCUUCAGUAAAAAUUAUUCAAACAAACUAAUUAAUUAAAAGGAACUCGGCAAAAUUAGUUGCUUCGCCUGUUUAUCAAAAACAUGGCUCUCUGCUUAUGUAAAUAUAGAGAGUCGAGCCUGCCCAGUGAAUUUUUCAACGGCCGCGGUACUCUGACCGUGCAAAGGUAGCAUAAUCAUUUGCCUUAUAAUUGAAGGCUAGUAUGAAUGGUUUGACGAGAGCAACGCUGUCUCUUUUUUAUUUUCAAGAACUUAACUUUUAGGUGAAGAGGCCUAAAUUUUAUUGAAGGACAAGAAGACCCUGUCGAGCUUAAAAGAUAUUAUAGAAGUGCAUAUAUUUUUAAAUAAAUUUUCUAUUCAGCUUUUUAGUUGGGGCGACUAAGGAACAAAAAGAGCUUCUUAUUAAUAAUAAACACUCAUGUUUAGAUCCGGCAAUAACCGAUCAAAGGAAUUAGUUACCGCAGGGAUAACAGCAUAAUCUCUCUUGAGAGACCUAAUCGAAAGAGGGGGUUGUGACCUCGAUGUUGGACUAGAA
rnacentral:rRNA from 1 species